rnacentral:lncRNA from 1 species
UGUUGAUUCUUAUGUUAAUUUAAUAAGAGCUGAAACUCAUUGUAAUUCACUUAUAUCUCUGUAGGGUUUUUGUGUUUUACCUGAUUUCUCUAGCUGCCUUUUGCUAUUCUGCUUAUACUCNAAUCUUCCGAUCCGAGGUACAAUCUUUAUUCCUUUUCUACCACUUUGUUGAUUCUUAUGUUAAUUUAAUAAGAGCUGAAACUCAUUGUAAUUCACUUAUAUCUCUGUAGGGUUUUUGUGUUUUACCUGAUUUCUCUAGCUGCCUUUUGCUAUUCUGCUUAUACUCAUCCAUCCUCUGUCUUUUUUUUUCCUAAGCACUUGCUUGUUUUUCAGAUAAAAGAGACUUUGUUACUAAGAUACAUAUAGUAAGAAAAUUACACGAUGCUAGAUGAAAGAGGCUUUGUUAGUAAGAUACCUUAUGUUUUGUUUGGUUGGGGAGAAGGCAAUAAUGAGUAGAAACAAAAGAAUACAUUGGACUUGGGAGUGAUGUUUUGAAAGAAAACAAGUGAUUUUGUAUGAUGGGAUUUCAUAACAAAAUAUAUAGAAUUCCUUCUCAAGUUUUCAAUAAUCAUUCCAUUUCUU